CUUCACCGAGCCGAGCCACAACGGUCGGUCGGCGGGCCGGUCCCGGCCGUAGGUGGCCAGCAGUGCCUGCGCCUC
rfam:Streptomyces scabrisporus strain NF3 contig3, whole genome shotgun sequence.